rnacentral:rRNA from 1 species
CAAACUCUGAGAUGUUAUACCGAGACUUAUUUGUCGAAGUCAUUGAUUCCAUGCUGCCAAGAAAAGCCCAGCAGCGAGUUGGCACGGUGCCCGUACCCCAAACCGACACAGGUGGGCGGGUAGAGAAUACCAAGGCGAUCGGGAGAACUAUGGUUAAGGAACUCGGCAAAUUACCUCCGUAACUUCGGAAGAAGGAGGACCCCUACCGGUGACGAUCUUCGCGAUCAGAGCUGGCGGGGGUGGCACAGACCAGGGGGUAGCGACUGUUUACCAAAAACACAGCAGCGUGCGAAGCCGUAAGGCGCUGUAUACGCUGUGACGCCUGCCCAAUGCUGGAAGGUUACGGGGAAUGGUUAGUCGAAAGGCGAAGCUAUGAACCUAAGCCCCAGUGAAUGGCGGCGGUAACUAUAACCGUCCUAAGGUAGCGAAAUUCCUUGUCAGGUAAGUUCUGACCUGCACGAAUGGCGCAACGACUUCCCCACUGUCUCAACCAUAGACCCGGCGAAAUUGAAGUACGAGUAAAGAUGCUCGUUAGUUGCGGAAGGACGAAAAGACCCCGUGGACCUUUACUAUAACUUGGUGUUGAGCUUUGGCCUGCAUUGUGUAGGAUAGGUGGGAGACUUGGAAGCAUUGGCGCCGGCCAGUGUGGAGUCAUCGUUGAAAUACCACCCUGUGUAUGUUGGAGCUCUAACUUCGGUCCGUUAUCCGGAUCAGGAACAGCGCCAGGCGGGUAGUUUGACUGGGGCGGUCGCCUCCUAAAGUGUAACGGAGGCGCCCAAAGGUUCCCUCAGGCUGGUUGGCAAUCAGCCGUCGAGUGCAAUGACACAAGGGAGCUUGACUGCGAGACCUACAAGUCGAGCAGGUGCGAAAGCAGGGCAUAGUGACCCGGCCAUUGCGUGUGGAAGCGUGGUAGCUCAACGGAUAAAAGGUACCCCGGGGAUAACAGGCUAAUCUUCCCCAAGAGUCCAUAUCGACGGGAAGGUUUGGCACCUCGAUGUCGGCUCAUCGCAUCCUGGGGCUGAAGCAGGUCCCAAGGGUUGGGCUGUUCGCCCAUUAAAGCGGUACGCGAGCUGGGUUCAGAACGUCGUGAGACAGUUUGGUCUCUAUCCUCCGCAACCGCAGGAGUGUUGAAGAAGGCUGUCCCUAGUACGAGAGGACCGGGACGGACGUAGCUCUGGUGUGUCUGUUGUCCUGCCAAGGGCACGGCAGAUUAGCCACCUACGGGAGGGAUAACCGCUGAAAGCAUCUAAGUGGGAAACCCGUUCUAAGAUGAGCACUCCCAUGCGGUCAACGCAGUAAGGCCCGUGACGAGACCAUCACGUUGAUAGGCCGGAGGUGUAAUCACAGCAAUGUGUUCAGCCGACCGGUACUAAUCGGCCGAGGGCUUGGAUCU